rnacentral:lncRNA from 1 species
GAGAUCAUCCCCUUGGAGCCAAGGGCAAAGGCAGGCCUCUCCCAGAAACAGUGGCAUCUGGACCAGAACGUGAUUUGCCCUGCCAUUCUAACUGUCCCAGGAGUCCUGGCUGAAGCCCCAGACAAGAAUGUGUUCAGCUGAUACCUUGUGUAGCUCCGAUGGACCAUCCCAGG